ensembl:snRNA U6 U6 spliceosomal RNA
GUGUUUGCUUAGGCAGUACAUUUACUAAUAUUGGAAUGAUACAGAGAAGAUUAGCAUAGCCGCUGUGCAAAAGCUGUAAAGCAACACAGACACACACACAAAUAAUAA